UAAAAUUAAAUUCCGAGGGCAUUCUUGACAGGUGCCCUCUCCUUUUCCUUAACAUCUCAACGCUCUCAAUCCCACACUCUCCCACUUUCGCUUCUACCUCAUCGGUCGAUUACAUUUCUUGCUGCUUAGGUUUCAUCGAUCUGUGAUUUUUCUCGCCUUCCUUGUUCCCCUAUCUCGGUGAAUUUGAUCGCGGUUGUGGUUCUAGGGUUUCUUUGUUUGUUUGGUUUCGGGGUUUAAUUUGCUGUGUGGCAUGAAGAUCGAGGAGUUAGACGAUACGGGGAGUAGUAGGGAUGAAGAGAAGGGGGAGAUGCAGAUUGUGAGGGUUGAUUCAAAGAGAGCGUUGGUUGGAGCAGUUGCUCGGAUCCUGUUUUACCCGACACUCUUGUAUAAUGUGCUUCGUAACAAGAUUGAAGCUGAAUUCAGGUGGUGGGAUCAAGUUGAUGAGUUUUUGUUGCUGGGCGCAGUCCCAUUCCCCAAAGAUGUUCCUCACUUGAAGAAGCUUGGCGUUGGUGGUGUAAUAACUCUUAAUGAACCGUAUGAAACUUUGGUGCCUUCAUCAUUGUAUCAUGCUCAUGGAAUUGAUCACUUGGUAAUUCCCACAAGGGAUUAUCUCUUUGCCCCCUCCUUUGCUGAUAUCAGCCGGGCUGUGCAGUUCAUUCAUCAGAAUUCAACUUGUGGUAAAACUACUUAUGUUCACUGUAAAGCUGGGCGGGGAAGGAGUACAACAAUUGUGCUUUGCUAUCUGAUUGAAUACAAGCACAUGACAGCUGCUGCUGCCCUGGAAUAUGUGCGGUCUCAAAGACCCAGAGUGAUGCUAGCUCCAUCGCAAUGGAAGGCUGUUCAAAACUAUAGCAAACGCAGACCUUGUUCUUUUGCACGCUCACCCUCAUGGGAUGCAGUUCUUAUAACCAAAGCUGAUCUUGAAGGCUACCAGAGCUCUGGUAAUGCUGGUAUGGAGCUGGCCAUUGCUCCUAAAGUGCCAAAGACUAAUCCCAUGAUAUCAAGACUAUCUUGUCUGUUUGCAUCCUUAAAGACAUCCGGAAAUAGUGUACCCAUGACAAGGUGGUUGCCGGUUUCUGAGUCACGUGCUUGUUAAGCCAGCAAGCCAGGCCAGCUUGACACGGAUAUGUACAGAAGAAGGUUGUGGAAAUAAGUGAAGUUGGAUACUUUCCCACAGAGUCGGUGCAAUUGUGUUAAAUGAGAGUAUGCAUAGUAUGAAAGAUAGGGAGGGAAGAUUCCUCCAUUGUCGUGUUAUAGGUUGUAGUUCUCUUGUAGAUACCUCAUGGUCAUGGGUGAUUACUCCAUAUGCAAGUUAAAUCAUUAUUGAUGUGAAAUAAAUACAAUUACUCAGUUGGUGGCCGAACGGUUGCUUCUGUUUACUGAUCUGACCUCUGUGGCUCUGCCUACUGCUCCAGUUUCUGUUGCAAUAUGAUUCUAGGAAGGAACAGCGUAAUAUGUCUUGACGUGUGGAUGCAGCCUUAGAGUGUUAGUCAGUUAGUGUUGCUCCAAUUCUGGUGAAAAACUUGGGCGGUAGUAUUGAUAUACAAUACAUUGGUCGUAAAAGUAUCUUAACUAUAUAUACAUCACAUUGAUACAUUGUGAAAAGUGUGCGAUGCAUCAAAUAAUGAAGUGUUUACAGACACUUAAUUUAGUCAAAAGAAAUAAAAAUAAAAUUGUGGAUUUUA